UACGUAGGUGGCAAGCGUUGUCCGGAAUUACUGGGUGUAAAGCGCGUGUAGGCGGCAGACCAAGUCGGCGGUGAAAGCGCCCGGCUCAACUGGGCGAGGUCCGUGGAAACUGGUCAGCUGGAGGACGGUAGAGGCGAGUGGAAUUCCCGGUGUAGUGGUGAAAUGCGUAGAGAUCCGGAAGAACACCGGUGGCGAAGGCGGUUAGCUGGGCAGUAGCUGGACACUGAGGCGCGACAGCGUGGGGAGCGAACAGG
rnacentral:rRNA from 1 species